CACUUAUCAAGAGAGACUGAGGGACUGGCCCGAAGAUGUCUCGGCAGCGGGCUCUAUAGAGCGCUGUGCCAAAUCCAGCAAGCAUAGGUGCUUGGCAGAUAAGAA
rnacentral:ncRNA from 2 species